rnacentral:lncRNA from 1 species
CAGGUGAUGCGUUGUACCACCAAGGCGAUGAGUCCUGUCUGAGGAGAGUGGUGAUGACGGAAGAGGAGAAGGUGUUGAUCUCAUCGGACCCAUGAAGGCGUCAAGAAAGGGAAAAACACCUAUUGCCUCACAGCGACUGACUAUUUCACCAAGUGGGUAGAGGCUAUUCCCAUCAAGAGGAAGGCAGCCGUGUUGACUGCGGAGGCUAUGAUGGACAUCUUCCUGAAACAUGGUGCCCCGGAGGUCAUCUUGACCGACAGAGGAAGGGAGUUCUGGAAUGAGGUUGUUUCACCAUUCGUUAACAUUUUCAGC